rnacentral:rRNA from 1 species
UACGAGGGGUGCGAGCGUUGCUCGGAAUUAUUGGGCGUAAAGGGUAGGUAGGUGGUUUCGUUUGUCUGGGGUGAAAGCCUUGAGCUUAACUCAAGAAGUGCCUCGGAAACGGCGAAACUCGAGUACUGGAGAGGGUCGUGGAAUUCCCGGUGUAGCGGUGAAAUGCGUAGAGAUCGGGAGGAACACCAGAGGCGAAGGCGGCGACCUGGACAGUGACUGACACUCAACUACGAAAGCGUGGGGAGCAAACAGG